rnacentral:rRNA from 1 species
UACGGAAGGGGCUAGCGUUGUUCGGAGUUACUGGGCGUAAAGCGCGUGUCGGCGGCUCAGCAAGUGGGGGGUGAAAUCCCGGGGCUCAACUCCGGAACUGCCUUCAAUACUGGUGGACUGGAGAAGGGAAGAGGGGAGUGGAAUUCCGAGUGUAGAGGUGAAAUUCGUAGAUAUUCGGAGGAACACCAGUGGCGAAGGCGACGGACUGGGACUUUCCUGACGCUGAGACCCGAAAGCGUGGGGAGCAAACAGG